GCCAGGGAGGUAAAAUAUGAGCUGCGGGCCUUGAAGGGUUAGAGAAGUGUGCAGAGGCAGGACUGCUGCCUCCUUCAGGAUGCCCCCAGAGUUAAAACUAUUUCUCUCCAUCUCUGCUACUCUCCUCCACCCUCCAGAUCCCUGCCUUCUCUCUGCUCCUCCUGUCCAUGUCUCUCCCUCCACUUUUCCCCUUCUCCCUUCCUCCUCCCAUCUUCUCCGUCCCUCGCUUCCCCACCUUCUCUUGCAGAACCCAGAGAGGAUCGCUGGCCCUCCUGCGCAUGCGCAGUCUGUGCCAGCUGGACCGAGGGUUGGAAGCUGCAACUCCGAGCCGGGGAUCGGCCCCAAAGGCUUCUCAGCUCUUUCGCCCGCUCAGUGGUGUGGGCGCUGCUCCCCGGGCUGAGAGCCUCCGGCUGUGAACCCCAGCUUCUCCUGGUGGAGUCGGGAAAAGGGAGCGUCAGUGCUGAGCGAGCUUCCGUCUCCUCCCUCAGUGUUUCUGCCCCAGGUAAGUACCUUGAACACUUUCACGUGUUUUGAUGGCGGUGCUUGAUGAUGUCACUGUUUUUAUAGUGAGAGGGAUUACAGUGUUGAAAGCAAGGCUUGGUUCAUUUAAAAAUGAGCUGAAGGCAUGAGGCUGUGACAUCCUCCAUCCUUCCCUCUCCCAGGGUGAAACGUGUGGCCGUCGAUCUUAAAAAGAUAGUUACAGUCCCUAACUAGCCCAGCCCAGCUAGGGUGUGUUAACAGGAACAGCACCACCAGAGGCGUUGGAGACUCAGGGACUUUGCAGUCCUAAAGAGCUCCUGGCAAAAUUUGGUUUGUUUUGGUUUUUUUGUUCUUCUUAAAUUGUGGGGCAGACUAGUAGUAUAGAGGGAAAAAUAAUUGUCAAGAAAUAUUUUUUCAUUUAACAUCUUUAUUGUGAUAUUGUUCACACACCAUGAAGUCCACCCACUUAAAUGCUACAAUUCAGCAGCUUUAGCAUAUUCACAGUGGUGCAACCAUUUAAUAUUCCAGAACGUUUUCAUCACUUCAGAAAGACCAGUGGAAAUGAAUGACCUAUCCACCCCUUCCCAGUGCUGGUUCUAAAGAAGUUUCUUGGUUGUUCCUGACCAUAAAUUAUCUUGUUACCCAUAAAAAAUCUGGUAGGAAAUCUAAACAGAAUUGUAUUGAAUCUGUCUAUCAAAGCAAGAAGAAUUAAUGUCUUUAUGGCAUAAAUUUCUUCUACCCAUGAAUAUAUCUCGGACCCUAUAUUUUCAUAUUUCCAGAGCCUGGCCCAUGGGAAGUCCUCUUUAAUUGUUGGGUUUGUGAAUGAUGAGAUUCUAUACAUCGUUAGUUGCAACUGAAGCCUUUCACAGAAGAGAAAAGUAAACUCACUGAAGCCAAGUGACUCUCUGAUGGUCAGAAAGAGUGACAGCCAGUGCUGGAGUGAUCCAGUGGACUUGGUGUUUGUAACCAGAAUUCUCCAGCACCUACAGCUAAGGGGAUCAGAGUAUUCUUUUAUUUUUUCUAAAUGGCGUUUCUUUUAUUUUUACUUAUUUUUUAAAAUUAUUUUUUAUUGAAGUGUAGUCAAUUUAGAAUGUUAGUUUCAGAUGUACAGCAGAGAUUCAGUUAUAAACAUAUGCAUAUGUAUCUACAUAUGUUUUAGAUUGUUUUUAGUACAACUCAUUACAAGAAAUUGAAUAUAGUUCCCUGUGCUAUAUAGUAGGUCCUUGUCAUUUAUUUUAUAUUUAUUAAUGUGUAUCUGUUAAUCCCCCUUUUCCUGCCUGCUAACCACAGUUUGCUUUCUAUGUCCAUGAGUCUAUUUCUAGCAGCACCGUAUUUGCUAGUAAUAUAUGCUGGUUGGCUGCUUUCAGUUUCAGUAAUUCCACCUUAUCUGUGGGCAUUUUCCUUCUGGUGGGCCUGUGUGUGGUUUGCACACGUGAUAUAAGAGUUGUGUAUUUGGGAGAACUCCAGGCCUCAUGUAGUGCCUGGUACAGAGUGCCCACUGAGCUGAUGCUUGAACUGGGAAAAAAAACAUAGUAAACGUUGGAAUUUCCACUAUGGUUGAGACUUCCAGGUUUCCAUAACCUGUUUAGCCCACCUUAAUGUUGGCUGCACCCAUACUGGGUAAUUUGGUGGAACUUCAUGGUAUGGUGGUGUAGAGACGGGGCCUUGUAUGCUUCUUCUCUUUCCGUUUUCUAAGACUCAUUCUCCUGGGCCUUCCAGAUCCUCCCCCAGAAGUGCCCAAGGCUGGCUUGGUGCUGCGCUGAGGCAAUAUUUGUUAAUAAGACCCUUUCCUCAUCUCUUCUGAGCCUCCGUUUCCUUCUCUGCACAAUGAAGACUUAGACUAGAAAAGUGCUUUUCAGUUUCUUUUAAGCCAUGUUUCCUUUGAGAAACCGAAUAUACAAAUCUCUCCUCCCAUUCAACAUACAGAUUUUGACACAUCCUCCAAGGAGUGACAUAGCUCUUUGUGGAAAAUUGAAGUGAUUGUGAUUCCAGGUGGCACAGAAAAGACUCUUCAGACAUUUAUUGCAGGGAGAGGGCAGGAAAGGGGCAGUAUAUCCCACUUUCUAGUGUGAGCACUGGAACAGGGGCUUGGGUUUAAAUACAGUGUCCGAAGUGGCCUCUCUCUAAUCUUUUUUUUUUUUUUGCCUCUCUCUAAUCUUGCACAAUGUGAUAAACCUCUCUCCCUCAGUUUCUUAAUGCGUCAAGUUGGGGUGAUAAUAAUUUAAGUCUUUUGUGAAACAUUAUACACAUAAGACAUUUGUUUCUCGGUAGAAAAAAAACCUGCGAGAGAAUCUGGGAUUUCUUUAAAAAAAAAAAAAUCUUGUCCACAGCACUCUGUCUGUGUCUAUUUUGAAGUUCCUUGAGGGUGAGUGUUGGGUCUAAAGUCCAUCGUGGGACAGGUGGCCCAUGGGUCUGUGUGCCGCAGAUUGCCCCCUCCUCCCCAGUCCUCUUCCUCUCAGUCCAGGAUGAAGUUCCCUAGUAGAUUUACACAGAGAUCUUGUGGAAAUGGCUUUUCAUUUUAUUGUUUCACGAAGAAGGGCUGCCAUCAUGAUCUCUGUAGUCAGCUUUUGGUGACCUGAAGGCUAUGCAAUUACGUUUUUCUAUUUAAUAAAAAGAAAAAAAAAUUACAAGUACAAAAUUAGACCUACGGUGGUGGCAGGGGCUCUUGAAAGUGGGGACCAUUAGCUUUGUUAGUUUCAGGUGCAGGGGCCUCUGGCCAUGAGGACACAUCAUCGUGCUCUGAAGUUGGAGGGACCAGUGGGCUCAGUGGGAAUGUUUACUGAGUGUAUCUCAUGGGCUGGGCAUUGACCUAUUUGUACUGUGUGUUCCUUAUUUGAGACAGUGAGCUCAUUUAACCUCAAUAGCCUCUUUAAUAAAUUAGACUUUUUAUUUUGAGAUAUAAUGUAGAUUCCCAUGUAGUUGUAAGAGAUAAUAUGGAGAGGGCCUACGGACUUUUUGCCCAAGUUUCUUUAAAGGUUCCAUCUUGCAAAGUUGGGAUACAAUUCAGUAAUGACUCACUAACACUUUGAGGUUUGUGUUAUUGCCCUCAUUUCUAUUCAUGAUUAAACUGGGGUUAAGAGGAGCACACAGGCCUGCCCAGGUCACCCAUGGUUAGUGUAGAGUCGGGUGAAACGUGGGCUUGGGAUUUCCAGGCAGUACCAUCAUGAUGCUCUGUGGCAGGGAGCAGCAUUCACUUUGCUUGUUUAUUCAUUCAUUCAACAAGCAUUUAUUGAGUAAACUCUGUGGGUCAGAUGCUAUCAUAGGUUUAUCUGAUUCUUCAGCAGUAUGGAGAAUCCGGUAAUGUUUCCUUCUUUUUUUUAAUCUGAGAAAAUUAGCUCUGAGAGGUUAUAAACCCCCCAAAGGAAAUAUAGCUCAUAAAUGAGGGAUAGUAAAUUUGUACAGUUCCUUCUUCUUAUGCAGGUGGGACCCUAGGCAUUUUACAUUUGUAAACUUCCAUAAUCCAGAUAUAUUCUUGUAAGGCAAGGAUUUUUUUUUAAUUGAAGUAUACUCAUGUUUACAAUGUUGUGUCAAUUGCAAGGUGUUUUUUUUUUUUUUCUUGAAUUUGGAAUUCAAAAAAUAUUUUUUGAGGGGGGUAAAUAGGUUUAUUUAUUUGUUUCAUUUUUUUAAAAUGAGGUACUGAGGAUUCAACCCAGGACCUCAUACAUGCUAAGCAUGUGCUCUACCACUGAACUGUACCCUCCUCCCCAAAGCAAGUUUUCUUAUCAAGUAUUCUGCAGCUUAGGAGUUCAAAUAAAUUGGAGUUGAAAUCCAGGUCUUUUGAUCCUACUGUGUUUCUUUGCUUUAUAUCCUGCUGAGGGGUGUGGAAGCAGUUCCUUUAUUCAUUCCUUUAUUCAGCAGUUUUGAGCACUGACUUUGCAUCAGGGCCUGGCUAGGUGCUUGGAAACAGAAAACAAGAAAUGACCCUUUUCUGCAGAGGGCGGAGGCCUAGACCAAAAGCUGCGUAAUGUGAUCUGAGCUGCGGUAGCCAUGUGCAGACGCUGAGGACAAACUGUACCCCCGGCUUUGCUUGGGCUUCCCCUGCCUUCUGACUGGUACACACCAGGUCACCGCAACCCAGUGAGGCCCGCAGCCCGCAGCACAGUAUGUACCUCGGUCUCCUCUUCCCUCUCGUCAGGGCCUGCAACAUGAACAUCCCUGACUACGUGCAGUGUGCUGAGGACCACCAGACUCUCCCCGUGGUGGUCCAACCCGUGGGGAUCAUCUCAGAGCAGAAUUUGUUGUGCAUCUAUAAGCGAAUCUCCUUGGUGAGGCAGAUCAGCCCGUGCGGCUCGCAGUGGGCACUCUGUAUCCACUAAAGUCACCACUAUGCGCCCGAGAAUGGGUGGAGCGACUUCCAGACCCACCACAAGGUCGUGGGCCUUGUCACCAUUACCGACUGCCUCUUGGCCAAGACCUUCGAGAAGCUCCACGUGCAGAGGAGCUGUAUGGCACCACGCUCUAUGACUCUCGGCUCUUUGUCUUUGUGCUGCAUGGGGAGGUGGCCGAGCAGCCGCGCACCGACGUGGCCUUCAAUUUACGAGGACUGCCGGGUGGUGGAGAAGAGGAUCGAGGACUUCACUGAGUCUCUCUUCAUCAUGCUCAAGUCCAAGUGGCUGGACGGUGCAUCCAACAAGUCUGGGGACAAGAUCCUCCUGCUCUACAUCCUGUUUGAGAAUGAGGACUUCGUGGGACUGGACACAGAGAGCAGGAAAGUCUACCUGGAUGCCCGGCCACCCUGGCUAUGUGAAGGGUUGCUUCCCUACAUCCAGAAAGGGAUCAGCAAGGAGGAGGGCUGUCUUGUAGCCAAGGCGUGAGGGAGGAGCAACCCGCCGGUUUUCAGACGUUUAAAAGUGAAUCCGCCUUUGUUUCAGAGAGAUUCUUCUAGGGUUAUUAUGGACACUUACUCCCGCUUUUCAGCCAAUUACCCUGGUGUGACCCCUGGAGUUGCUGUCCAAUAGAGUAGCCAAAGCCACUGAUGCUAGGAGAGCUGGGGAGGAGGCUGCUCUGAGCUGAGAUGUGCUCUAGGUCAAAUGCACAUCAGACGCUGAGACUUGUCUAGUAAAAAGAAUGUAAACAAUCUUGUUACUUUCUUUAUUGAUUACAUGUCAAUAUGAUAGUAUUUUACAUACAGUAGUAUAAGUAAGAUAUGUUCUUAAAAUCAGUUUCUAGGGGUUUUUUUGGGGGGUUACCUCUUUAAAUGUGGCAACUGGGAAACUUUCUUUACAUGGCUCACAUUUCAUUCCUGUUGGACAGCCUCUCCUGGGACAGUCUCAUCACUUUGCUUAUAGAUGUCAUGCUGAAUCCUGAGAUGCAGAAUGAGGCGCUGGUUGAGCUGGGGGUGGAGCCAGUGUCUCCUGCUUCCCAGGUCCAGCACCUGCACGGCUCAGGCCCUCUCUCCCUGCCUGACAACCACCAUGCCAAUUUAGGACAACAGAAACACUGCCAGGGGCUUCCAAAUGAGCUCCUUACGCAGGGAAAUGCGUGUCACGGAGUAUGGGGCACAGCAGGGAAAGAUUCGUCCUCACUUUGUCCCUGUGAUUAGGUCAACGGACCCACUUUGCCUUGGAAGUGCAGACGAGUUCUUCUGGGCUGCCUAACCCCCCUCCUUUUGCUCUGUUUCCCUGUGUAUCUAUCGAGAUGUCCCUCGGGCAGAAGAGGGUGAGAUGCCUUUGCCGAGAGGUGGUCCCUCUUUGCUGGGGAGAUUGUGGGAAUCUGUGUCCCCCCGGCCUACGGCCUCGGGCCUUGACUCUGGAGAGGGCUCAUGGCGGUCCCACAGGUGACGGUCGGAGGACCUGGCACGUGCUGCCGGGCCCGAAGUGGAGGAGGUGUUCUGCGAUUCUCUGUGAGUCUAAAAUCAGAUUCUACUUUCUGGUUGUUGGUAAGUUGGAGGAGAAGAUGCCAGAGAAUUGAUAAAAAGAUAGUCCAGACCAGUCCUGUGAGUGACAGGCACAGGGGACCCGAGUCCCACCUGCUUGUGGUGCCUGGCGGGCUCUGGAUGUAUUUUCAAUUCCUCCCCGGGCAUACCUCUGUGGCUUAAGGAAGGGGCGAGGCAUAUCGUGGCCAUGACCUGUACUUGUCCUCGCAGGGCCCUGUGAUAUACACGGCUUUCUCCCCUUCCGCUUCUUGUAGAUGAGCUGGCAGAUGUAGUGGUCUGGGCAAAGCUGAGGGCACAGAUGCCAGCACCGUGCCACUCCCAGGCUGGCUCCAUUCCCGUCACCUGUCACCUCCUGCUCAGGCCCCAGGCGUCAGUGAAUAUAGGUGCAUCAGUGCAACGUAAGCAGGGACCACCUUCUCCCCCUGGACAGAAUGGUGGGUGAGCACUGGAAGCCUGAAGCCCUGCCCCAGCCCCCUGGCCAGUGCCUCCUCUUUUGUCACAGGAGGCACUGGUGAUAUGUUUGCUCAGCAACUGCUUGGCUCUGAGUCUGCAGACCCACCAGAGAAUGCCAGCUUGUUUUUGCCUUUUGAAGUGUGUCCUUGGGAUUUGGCGGAGUAGCUGUUUUUGUGCUUAGCCCAUAGUGGUUGACACUGUCACCAUUGUUUACCCAGAACCUCGUGUACCAGGCAUGGCUCUCGGCAUCAAAAUACAGCAGCGCAUUAAACCUCCCUCCUGGUGGGUCUGUCUGUUUUGGUACCAUAAGGGCUCAGCCAGCAUCUGAACAUCGUUUUGGUUACUGAGACCCUCGAAUUCCCAUAUGAAUUAUAAGAGCAGCUAAUCAGUUUUUGCAGAGGAGCCCACUGGGAUUGUGAUCGAGACCACGUAGAAUAUACGGAUCACUCUGGGGAGCACUGCCAUUCCAAGAGCACUGUCUUCUGAUCCAGGAAUGUACGUGGCGUGUCUGUCCAGGUGCCCUCACAUCCAGUGGCAUCCAUCCAGACACCAACACUGACACUGGCCAUGCUCAGAACUACCUCAGCCCUGAAGACACAAGUGACAAAUAGAAGGGGGCCGCGCCCUGUUACAGCAGGUGCUCUCACUUUGUGGGUCCUUAUGUAACUGCGCGGUGUUAAUCAGGAUCGCCCGUUCUACAUUGUGUGGCGCUGCUGCGGUGUCUUCUAGUUAUUUGUUUCUGAGAAUUACGGCCUGCUGCUAGAGUGUUUGAUCAGGAUAAAUGAUUUGUUUCUAUAAGAUGCCACGUACAGUCACAAGCUCAGUGAGAAAUGGGCUGUCACCUCUUCAUCUGCAACUCAGUGCUCGACAGGACAUCGGGGCAAAGCCAGUCCGUAAUUUGUUUGUGAUGCAACUGUCCACGUGGGUCAAAUCAUGGUGCCCCUCAUAAACCUCCAAAAAAAACCAAAGUUGAUUUUCUAUUUUGCAACUUGCCAUCUCUAUAUAAGUGCAGAAGAGUUAACAUCGUGAAAGAUCAGAGCCCGGAGAAUAGGCUCUCCUGGAUAUUUCAGGCUAAAGGCAACUUUCUUUUACAAAUGGUACAGAGCUACCAAGUCUGAGCCUAGAAAACAGCAAAGGUUUAAAGCCAAAUGAACAGAUCUAACAUGCAGUCAAAUUUAUUCUUUUCUAUUACAAUUUCUUUUUCCACCACAUAAAUAAUUUUAGGAAGAAACAUGAGCAAUUUUUUUACUUUUGCUUCUUAGUAACGGAUAAGUGGGCCAAAUACAUUUAUGAGAGCAGGGAUGCUGUGUGGGCAUUGGGGUCACAGCAAACUCUUGUUGGGGGUGGUCGACUCUGCAACAUGUCUGAUGCCCCGUGGGUGUUGGUGAGGGACCCCAUAACCAGGGGCUCUCUUCAGGAACCAGCAUAUGGGCAUUGACCUCUGGAGACCUUUUUCAGCUGCCGGAAAUUUUUUCAGAUAAUGUGACUGAAAAACCACUUCAGCUGGUGAUAAUUAGGGAAUAAAGGAAGAGGAAAAGGGCUUGGAUUAGAUUAGAAGAGAAGGACAGAAUAUCAGGUAACCUGGGGGCUUGGCAGUGGGUCCUUGGGAGAGAGGGGAGCAGAGGUGGGGAAGGGCACGGCUCUGGAACCAGCUCCUGCACCUGUCCCAGGGCCCAAGUCACACAGCUUUAAAUUGGCCUAGGACACUUUCCUGUCUGGAUGUCACCCUGGGCAGAACCUUGAGAAUCGAAGGUAAGGGGUGGGCAGCACUCACCUAGGGGAUCACUGAGGACUUCGUUCAAGUCCACGGUGCCUUUUCUGGUCAUGUGUCUUCACUUGCCCUUUAUCUUAGGAUCUGAGGAGCAGGAGGAAGGAACGCAGGGAGAGAUUCAGGAAGACAUCUGACUGUGUUAAGAGACGACAGUCACAGCCACACGGGGAGCGAGGACACUUGCAGCAAAGUAAAACGACUUCACAACUAUUGCAUCAGAGCUGCAGGUGUGAGAGAGCCUAAGCCUGUCUCAGAGUGCAGGGGACAAGUGGAAAGGAAUGUGUAAGAAUGCUGGUGACUGAGUUAGAAGCAUGCUUCGAAGCUGUCCAUGUCCUUGCCAUCCAGAAGCGGAGCCUGGGAGCUACCGAAUUUCUCCAGAAUGCGGUUUACAUUCAUCUUCUACAGCAUUCCUAGGAGAGAAUUCAGCAGUGCAGCAUCCUCUCCGAGCUCUAUGAGUUGAUCGGCUUCCACCGCAAGUCCGCCUUCUUCAAGCGGGUGGCCCCCGUGCAGCGCGCGGCCCCCGGCAUUACGGAGCCUGGCGGGAAGGUCUGCUACCGACUCCUUCUGCAGACGCUUCCUGGCUACAGUCUGUCGCUGGAUCUGCAGGACUUCAGCAAACGUGUUGGAACUAAAACAUUGCUUCAGUCCCAUUAACCAUGCCUGGUUUGGGCCCUGCUGUCCUGUCUCAUCAGGGUGAAUUCUGAUUCGUUUAGAAUAGGGCUCAGCAGAGUUUUUCUGUCAAGGGCUUGGGAGUAAAUAUUUCAGGGUCUGCAAACCUCCUGAUCUCUGGUGCAGCUGCUCAGCUCUGCUGUUCAGACUCCAGAGCAUCCGGACAUUCCACACACCCACAGAGCUUUAUUAACAGCGGUGUCUGGGGCUGGAUUCAGUGUAUGAACUGCAGUUUGUCCCCACAGCCUCCUCACUAUUGACGCCUGCAACAGAGCAUGCAUUUGCGACAAUGGGUGAACCUGCACUGACACGUCAUCAUCACCCAGAGCCCAGACUUAACACUAGGAUUUACACUUGGUGGUGUGCACUCUGUGGGUUUGGACAGAUGUGCAAUGACAUGUAUCCACCGUCACAGCAUCAUACAGAGUAGUCUGUCUUAGUGACCUUAAAAUGCUCCGUGCUGCACCUCAUUCAUUGCUCCUUCCCCUCUAGCCUCUGACAGCCACUGAUCUUUUAGUCUCUGUGGUUUUCCCUUUCCCAGAACACCAUACAGUUGGAAUCAGACAGUUGCGGAACCUUCCCAGAUUGGCUUCUUUCCCUUAGUAAUAUGCAUUUAAGGUUCCUCCAUGUCUUUCCAUGCCUUGAUAACUCAUUUCAUUUUAGCACCAAAUAAUAGUCCAUUUUCUGGCUGGACCACAGUUUAUCCAUUCACCUACUGAAGAACAGCUUAGUUGCUUCUGAGUUCUGGUGAUUAUGAAUAAAGCUGCUAUUAACAUCUGUAUGCA